rnacentral:ncRNA from 1 species
CACCGAUAAAGGCAAAUCUAGCGAAAGCUAGAGACGCAAAACUAUAGGACCUUCCUUAGCAUUCGUGCUGAGAUGGCAGCCAGUUACCGAA